UUCUGUUUGUCAGCUGCAGAAAGCCAGACAGUACAUUUUAUUUUCCAUCAGAGGUUGUCUAUCGCGAUGACAAUGGAAUUAAACUCUGUUUCUAUGUCAAUGGAAACGACAGACAUGCAGACUGUUGUAAAACUGGAGAUUUCAACUGCAACUUUAACAUAACUGGUAAUGAA